CCAAAAUAGAAAAUUAAACCCUGAACAACCACUGGGUGAAAAGGGGAAAUGAAAAGGCAAGAAAAAAGAAUCACAUGACAAACUAAAAUGGAAACACAACUUGCCAGAACUUAUAGGAUACAGAAAAAGCAACGCGAAGAGAAUCUGUAGCAAUAAACACCUCCUUCGAUAAAAAGGAAAGACGUCAGAUGAACAACUGGGCUUCACACCUCAAGGAACAACAUAACAAGAAGAAACUGGGCCAGAAGUCAGCAGAAGGAAGCGAGUUAUAAAGAUCAAAGAAAACCAAGUAAGCUGGGAAGACAGAAGAAGAAAGCAACUGAAAGCUGGCAUUUGAAAAGAUAAAAUUGACAGAGCUUUAGCCAGACUAACCAAGAAAGAGGCGAUGCAAUUGAUGCUACAGAAGUGCAAAGGGUUCUGAGAGACUACUGUCUUCUUGGCCUCUCGGUGUUCACAGGACAGCGGAGUCGCCUAAGACGCAUCUGUGGGAAUGGAUCCCCACCCCGAGGCGGCCCAAGGCUGCAUACGGGAUGGAGAAAGUUGACUCCAAAGCUGAGAACAGAGCCAUGGUUAUCAGGCAUUGCAUGGUGGGGGAAAUGGAGCCAUGUAGGUGUGGAGAUGCAAACUAAGCUGUAAGAAGCCCUGUCAGACCUGUGGAGGAGGAUUAUAGAAGUCCACUCUCCUGCUCGCUCUGCUUACCCCAUGAUCAUGUCUGUGGCAUGGAGGGACCCACCAGGCCCUCCUGGAAGGGUGCUUUGUUUGGUGUCUCCUCCGUGGACGCUGGGCUCCCUGCUCCCAGUCCCGCUUCACGUGGACGCCACUGCCCCGCCCUCAUCCUGUCCACGUGCUGGGACUUUUCCUGCAAUUAGAUAUUCUCUUGGAUCUUCAGACGUUCCCUCUACUGAAAUAUUCUCCGGUCCACUCAAAGAGAGUAAGAAAAGGCCUUCUGUGGCCAUUAGCCCACUUGUUAUAAGCACGGUUAUUCUGCUUUUCACUUUCUCCGCCUUGCCCAUGGCCUGUGUCUGCAUGCAUCCUCCCCCCCGACUGCAAGCUGAGUUUAUCUGGUGGUUUGUUCCGUCUUUGGCACUAGGCGGCUCACUCCAAACAGUACAGUCUCCCCGUUUUGGUAGUGGCCAAACCCCUAGUAUGUGGAGUACUGUCUAGCACAUGACACACUCUGUCUCUUUAUUAGGCAGUAACCCUCAAUGAUUAUUUUUAUUUUAAAACCAAGAAGAUCGAGUAUCUUGAUGUGGUCAAAUAAUAAGGUGAAUGUUUAAAUUUCAAAAUUUAUUACAGUGAAAGACAAACGGCUACUAAUUCUCCUAAAAAUCCACCUGCCUUUAUUUCAAACACACUUAUCCCAUCUCUCUUGCCACUUCCUGAAGGAGUUCUGGGAGUCUUCUUUUGUGAGUGUCUUUAGUUGUGUUGCUGUGGCUGCCUUGAUGUCCUCAAUCAGCUCAAAAUGCUUCCUUUUCAUGGCCAUUUUUGACUUUGGAGAGAAGUCAGAAGUCACACGGUGUCAGGUCUGGUGAGUAAGGUGGAUGAGCACAGGUUGCCAUGUUCUUACAAAGCUGCCUUCCAUUGGAUGGCGCUCAGUGGCAGGAUUCACCAUGGUUUUUUUUUUUUUGGUCAAUUAAGUAAAGACACUCAGGAAAGAGGACUCCAGAACUGCUUCAGAAAAUGACAAGAAUGGUGGGAUAAGUGUGUUUGAAGCAAAGGGAAGUAAUGUGAGAAAAAUUAAUGUGAAUGUGUCUUUAAUAAUUUUUAAAAUUUAAACAUUCACCAUAUAUUUAAAUCACACCUCAUAACUUGUCUGUUUCCAUUGAUGUUUAAAUCUAUUUCCCUUUUCAGAGAAGCAGUGUCUAUAUAACCUCUAGUGAACGUUACCAUCCAAUGCUAAUGUUUUCUCUUUAUAAAAACAACUUCCUAAAUGAAGGGGGUCAAAUUGAAUACUUUUUCAACAAUGAGUAAUUAGUGUUGAAAUAAGACAAGAAUGCUCAUCUUGAUCUUUAUUUUCUGUUGCUGGUCAGCAUCCGUCUGCAGCUAAAAAAUAUAUUUAAAUGACUACAAGAUCCCCUUCAUUUGCCUUCAUCAGUGCCAGUAUUAUUGUUCUGCUCUGGGUCAUCACAAUACUGAGUAAACUAACAAUUCUCAGGUUCCAUCCCUACCCAUCCUGGGUGGAAUGAAACGCCUCCUCGUUUACAUCACUCAAGUCGCCAAAUAAGAAAGGACCAGUCCCAGUCUCAUUUUCUAGUGACCAGUGCAGCCUCUUACUCAUUGGUUUUGCCUUGAUACCUUACGUAACAUCUUUCUGUGACAGUACAUCAGAUGCCCACCUGCAGCUCUGCUGGUGUUUUUUUUUUAGGGAAUUGAUUGAUUGCACAAAAGGAAAAAAAAUAAAAUUGCUGUUGUAUCCUAAGACUUUUUCAGCUGCAAGUAGCAUAAAAGCUGCUUGCAGCAGCUUAAUUCGAGAGAAGACUGAUUUUCCUCCAGGCUGGAUCACUGGUGUUGAGGGUCCCCGGCUGGCAGUGCAUGGUGCAGGCUCCCUCUGGCCUGUCUCUUCCCUCCUCAAUGCCUUUGCUUUUGUCCUUGUGCUGUCACCUUGUGAACUUCACAUCUGCAUAACAGGAAGUUCAGAAAAAGGGUAAGUGGGCAAAGCAUUGUCCAUCCUCUUCCGCCAUGCCUGGGAGAGAAAGGCAUUUAGAGUCAGCCUUGCAGGGCCUUCCCCUAGGUCCUAUUGUCCUGGACAGCGUCAAACGACUGCAUCUGGAUGUGAGAACUAUUGGAAAGAUGACAUUUCUAGUGGAGCAUAUAGCUGUCCUGAACAAAAUCAGGGUUUGCUCAUCAAGGAAGAGGGAAAUGCACUUCGGGUGGACAGCUCAGAGCCGUGGUAACUACAGGGCUCCCACGAGGACAGGGUACCACAGUCUCGUGUUAGGAUGAAGCAGUGGUCCUUUUACAGGUAGUUCACAGUUGGUACGGAUAUUUUCUGCUUCUUUUUUUGUCCUUGUGAAAAGAUCUUGGCCAUUAGAUUUACUCCUGCUGGGUAAAAUUUUUAUUGAAGACUUAGAAUGAAUCAGAGGUUAUUCCUGCUCCUUGAGGUAGUGAGUGGCUCACAGUACAUACUUAGAAGUGAGAAUAAAAUCAUGACUGUUCACUGCAUUGUGAUCAGGAUCUACCCAGAUAAUGGCUACAGGUGUUAAUGGCUAUUGUUAUUUAUUCAGAAAGCAUACUUACUACCACCUGCCCUUCACUGCUUUAGUGGGUGGUAGGGACAUAGUAGUUCGCAAGUCACACUAGGAAGGGGGACCAGGUGGUAAGCAAAUAUACUGGGGAUAUUUCUUAAUCUCAGAAGAAAUGGUAAAAAGAAGACUUAAAAGAACAAGCCCAGAGAUAGUCUCUCUGAAGAAAUGAGGUGAGAGCAUUUUUUUCCUGAGACCUACAUCUCCAAAUAUUCAUAUUAUAAGUAAGAUAUUUUUGGCAAAAAUAAUACAAUUGUUUUCUGUAGAGAAGCAUUAAUGAGAUCAUAGGUUCCCUUUAGCUUAGAGGCAAUUAUGUGAGCUGCUAUAGAAUGUACAGGUCCUUUCUCCCCAGUGGCUGGUUCUCCAAUCACCGUUGAGCCAACCCAUGAUGCAUCAUCGCUUAGAACUUAACAGGAAAAUCAUGCAGUUCCUUGCAUUUUUUAUUCUUCUCUUCUCACCUCCAUUUGCUAUGUCCCUGGCUGUGAUCCCUAAUGUGACAGCUCCCAUCCCAGUGACUGGAUCAUGCCUCUCCUUCUACUCUAACAAAGGGAGAAUCGCAAUACCCACCCGGGAUUGGAGACAAAUAUGUGGAGAUUAAUUUUGAAACUUUCGCUUUAAACCUUGAUUUAAUCUAGUGGGCUCAAUACCACUGAAGGCAGUGUGGAGUAGCAUUGGCCGUGCAGCGAGUAUGGUCCACUCCCAGCUGCACAGAGCUGGCUGAAGGUCGGUACAAGUUUGGGAGUUUAAUAUCCCAACCUGUGGAAUGGGGCUUUGCUAGUGUACCAUGAGGAACAAUUUGGGGGAAAGACUGUUUGUACACCCCAUGAUUCUUUCUUUUCUCUUGGAUGCCUUUAUUUACUAGGAUACAGUAUAUUUCUUAUUUAGUGACUUGCUGAAAGUUUUUAAACAUCAGUUUCUCUGAUUUGUUUAAAAGUUGUUUGGAUUUUUAAGCUCUUUCCAAAGCUACCUUUGAAUAGGCCAGCUCUUAUUUUUUUUCUUUUUCUCCCUCAAGGUGUUUUGCAUAGUUCUGAGAACAUAAGGAGUGUCUGAGACAUUACUUUCUUAUUGUUCCAUAAUGUAAUAAACGUGUGUUGGAGGUUUAAAUAUUUGUUCUAGGAACACCAUACAUUAGGGCCUGGCAUCCACCAGUACUUCCCAGCAACAUCUCUGUGCUAUAAUGGGAAUUUCCGGUUAUCUGUAAGCCUCUAGGGAAGAACCUGGAACUCACUCAAUAAACACCAGGCUAGGUGCUAGAGACACUAUGGUGAAAUACACGCAGGCUUGCAACUUACAUUCUGACACAAGAGGUAAACAUUAAACAAAUAACUUCAUUUGAUUAUGCUAUAUAAAAUGGGGCCUACCCUCUUAGAGAGUAGCCUGAGAGGGUGAAGUCUAGGGUGAUUAGGAGUUAUCCAGGGCAGCAGUGGGACACACAUUCCCCAUGCAAAUGUCCUCACUUCAAAGAGAGCCUGGUCGGUUCAGAGAACAGGAAAAGGUGAGUAAGGAGGCCACAUAGUGAGUAAAGAGAGAAAAUCAAGGUGCAGAAGACAUGGGCAGCUGGGGACGUGGGCUUACUUCGACAGUACCAAGGAGCCAUGCAGAGUGGGAAGAGCCCAGUGAUGGGAUUCAGUUUGUUUGGAAAUUAUGGUUGCAGGAUGGAAAGCAGGGUGGGACGAGUUUAGAACGGCUGUUGAGCUCUUCCUGGCAGAAGAUGAUGACUUCGAUGAGCCCAGGCACACCAGUGAUGAUGUAAGUGCUUUAUGUGUAGAUAGAUUAACGCUUCAUGCAGAAAUCUGGCCUUGAAGAUAAAGCCCUGCCGACACCGUGUCAUGGGGUGUGUGACUAUGGAAGGCACUGCUCUGGUCUCCCUUGGGUUUCUCCGUGCUCCCAGGUAUUCAGUCCAUAGCUGCCACACCAGCAUGGGAUUCACGAGCCUGUUUCAAUUGCAAUUCAUUAAAAGUAAAUAAAAUUAAAACUUCGGCACCUCAGUCACAUUUAGCCAUCUCCCGGAGGCUUAGUGGCCCACUUGGCCAGUGGCUGCUGGAGCAGAUGGCACAGCUGUGGAAGGUGGCCACCCCUGAGGACUUCUGGCCUGGCGUCCUGGAGAGUCCAGCGCUUCAUCAUUGUAGACUCUUGAGGGGUGGCAUCUCCAGGUGAACGAGUGGGCAUUCACAUGUGCCUCCUUCAGAACUCCAGUCAUGUGCUCUGUCCUCUGUCCCUCGGGGCUCCCUGCCACUGCCCUGCUCUGGGGCUGGGUGAAUAAGCCCCUCCCUGGCAGCCCACCGCGCUCUUCUGCCCCUUCGUCAGAGCUGGCUUGCCUCCCCCAUUGUCCUUGAGUGUCGCUGAUUCACCUCUCUCACUGGAUUGGGAAAUAGGGCAGCAGGGUCCAGUGGGCAUGUGCCAUCUGGGGCGGCAGCUCCGAGGUUGGCUCACCCAUUGAUCCAAACGGCCUGAUUGCUGUCCUUAAUUGUGCUAUUUAAGUAUCAAUAAUCCUGAGGAUGUGUGACACAUAGUCUUUAAAGUUUGAGCUCAGACUUCUUUUCUUUUCUUUUUUUUUAAAGACAGGAUCUCACCUUGUAGUUCAGGCUGGCCUUGAACUCUCGGUGAUCCUCCUGCCUCAGCCUCCCCAGUGCUGGGAUUAUAAGCAUGAGCCACCAUGCCCAGCUUUGGGCUCAGAACUUCUGAGUGAGCUAGAAGACUAGAAAACUACGGAAGAGUUUAAAAGACAGCAUUCUAUGCAGCACAGAGAAGAAAUUGAAAUACUGAAGGUCUGUGAUACUGAGAAUGAUGGUACAUUGUUAGGAAACCAGGAGGCUCGAGACCCUGUCCUGCUGGUGGACCUCAAGCUGCUGAGGAGAGGCCUCGCCGUCAAGUCCUGGCUCCCUCUAGCUGGAGACCUCAUUGUGAUGUAGGUGGCUCACUGAGGUACAAGCAAGGUGUCCAAAGGCAUAAUGACACCAGGCUCUCCGAGAUGGAAAAUGAAGUGAAGAGUCCCAGAACUGGCUUCUCUUUAGAAUGGAAAAGACCAAAAUUUGACAGCUGUGUUUUUCAGAAUUGUGUGCAUGAUUCAUAAGGCAUCAGGUAAAUAAAUUCUAACUUACUUGU